rnacentral:rRNA from 1 species
UACGUAGGGUGCGAGCGUUGUCCGGAAUUAUUGGGCGUAAAGGGCUCGUAGGCGGUUUGUCGCGUCGGGAGUGAAAACGCCGUGCUUAACACGGCGCUUGCUUUCGAUACGGGCAGACUAGAGGUAUGCAGGGGAGAACGGAAUUCCUGGUGUAGCGGUGAAAUGCGCAGAUAUCAGGAGGAACACCGGUGGCGAAGGCGGUUCUCUGGGCCGUAACUGACGCUGAGGAGCGAAAGCGUGGGGAGCGAACAGG